rnacentral:antisense_RNA from 1 species
CGCUCAGGCGGCGCCCCGGCGGCGACCCACCUCCUCGGCGUCCUGGCCCAGGGGGAUGCCCAGGUUCCUGAGCCCCUCCUGCAGCUCGCCGAUGUCCACCACUCCGUCCCCAUUGCGGUCCAGUGCCUGGAAGAGGAUCUCGUAGCGCGUCGGCGGCUCCGCGUCCUGGCAGGCCGCGGUGGGCAGCACGAAGCCCCGCAGCCAGCGCAACAUGGUCCCAGAGGCGCGGGCAGCCUGGCCGAGGAAGUCACGGGAGAUCGAGGUCUGCGGGGCGCGACCGGGACCAGCGCGAGGCCGGGCUGGGCGGGGCGCGCGGCGCAACAGCGUUUGGGGCGCCGUCGGCGGUGCGGCUGCGGCGCGCAGGGCGCAGGAGCGGAGACCCCACCCGAGCCCGCGCUACGCGCAGGGUGUGGCCGUGCCGCCGCUGCUGGGGAGGAGCUCGCCGCGCUGGCCUCCGCGGCACUGGCCGGGCCCGCCUCCGGAGAGCAGGAAGUGAGGGAGCUGCGAGCUGGGUCUCGGGAGGGGCUGUGCGGACCCGGGGUCGACCUCCGCCCAGUUGCCAGUCCGGCUGUCAGCAGUGCGGGUCCGAGGAGGAGGCCCCCAGCAGGUCCAGGGCUGCAGCGUCAGCGCGUCGGUGGCUUGGGAGCGGGGUCUUGAAGACCGGUUACUCCACUUAAAGACCCCCUCGGGCCGGAGCCUUGGCGGUCAGCCCAGAGCUGCUCCUCUCUGCCUGGAAACUGGGCCAUGGAGGGCAUUGUCUCUCACGGAUGUCUAACUUUUUCGCGGUUGCACACCUGGGAUGGCGAUUCUGCUUUAAAAAGCAGAGAGUUAAAUCCGAAAGCAUCUAUUGGAGCAAUUAUAAAACAAAAAGGAGAAACUCCUGGAUUUGUUGCAGAAAAGAUCAACAGCCAUCCGCGUGGGCAACGGGGAAAAGAAGGACUAGUUUGGUAGGCAGCUUAGCUAGGAUUUGCCCGUAAUUAAGCGUAUAGAGUGUCUGCCAGCUGCACUUAUCAGAAAAAACCUCAGCGCCCUCCUCCUCAAGAUGGGUGCAGUUCCGAGGUUUGGAGCUUAUUACUCAGGCAAGACAGAACUUAUUACUGCCUAGCAUGGAAUAACGGAAGGAACAUUGGACUUAACAGAGAAAGUACCUAAUCCUUCAGAUGUGACAUAGCCUCUCCGGGUAGUCUCUCAUCAGUGAAAUGACGAUAUAAAUAUCUGCCUUCACAACAAGGUUGUAUAUUAUGUGUGAAAGGUCUUAAUUCUCUAAGGCGCCAAUCAAAUGAGAUAUCAUUCAUUGUAAUAAUUCUGUUCAUUCACAGCUGCUUAAGAGGAAUUAUUGUUGUACUGCUAUUAGCAGAAAAGAAGAUACCUCUGUACUUGUAAAUUAGGGUGUCUCACAUCUUCCGAAUCACUACACAGAAAUCAGUUGUUCCAACAACAGCCAGGAACUCAGACCCCGAACUUACCUCCCCUCAUAUCAUUUUGUAUGUUUAAGAUAUAUAUGAAUCUAGAAUUUGUAAGUUAAGGGCUGCCUGCUUAGUAAAAUCAUCUUGAAACUGA